GUGAGGAAUAUUGGUCAAUGGGCGAGAGCCUGAACCAGCCAAGUCGCGUGAAGGAAGAAGGAUCUAUGGUUCGUAAACUUCUUUUGCAGGGGAAUAAAGUGCGGGACGUGUCCUGUUUUGUAUGUACCCUGAGAAUAAGGAUCGGCUAACUCCGUGCCAGCAGCCGCGGUAAUACGGAGGAUCCGAGCGUUAUCCGGAUGUAUUGGGUUUAAAGGGUGCGUAGGUGGUUUGAUAAGUCAGCGGUGAAAGUUUGCAGCUUAACUGUAAAAAUGCCGUUGAAACUGUCGGACUUGAGUGUAAAUGAGGUAGGCGGAAUGCGUGGUGUAGCGGUGAAAUGCAUAGAUAUCACGCAGAACUCCGAUUGCGAAGGCAGCUUACUAAGCUACAACUGACACUGAAGCACGAAAGCGUGGGGAUCAAACAGGAUUAGAUACCCGUGUAGUCC
rnacentral:rRNA from 1 species